CCUACGGGAGGCUGCAGUGAGGAAUAUUGGUCAAUGGACGUGAGGCUGAACCAGCCAAGUAGCGUGAAGGAAGAAGGAUCUAUGGGUUGUAAACUUCUUUUAUAGGGGAAUAAAGGUAUCUAUGCAUGCCUAUUUGCAUGUACCCUAUGAAUAAGCAUCGGCUAACUCCGUGCCAGCAGCCGCGGUAAUACGGAGGAUGCGAGCGUUAUCCGGAUUUAUUGGGUUUAAAGGGUGCGUAGGUGGUUUUUUAAGUCAGCGGUGAAAGUUUGCGGCUCAACCAUAAAAUUGCAGUUGAAACUGGAAGACUUGAGUGUAGUAGAGGUAGGCGGAAUGCGUGGUGUAGCGGUGAAAUGCUUAGAUAUCACGAAGAACUCCGAUUGCGAAGGCAGCUUACUGGGCUGCAACUGACACUGAAGCACGAAAGCGUGGGGAUCAAACAGGAUUAGAUACCCCAGUAGUC
rnacentral:rRNA from 1 species